rnacentral:rRNA from 1 species
AUUCCAGCUCCAAUAGCGUAUAUUAAAGUUGUUGCAGUUAAAAAGCUCGUAGUUGGAUUUCUGGUUUGAUGCCCUGGCCCGCUUCAAAUUUUGGAGUGUGUGCCGGCUGUGCGUCUGCCAUCCUUCUAGAAAACGUUCGUACCCUUCACUGGGCCGCGUUCGAGAUCUAGAUCUUUUACUUUGAAAAAAUUAGAGUGUUUAAAGCAGGCAGUUGCUAUGAAUACAUUAGCAUGGAAUAAUAAGAUAGGACUCUGGUACUAUUUUGUUGGUUUGCAUACCAAAUUAAUGAUCAACAGGAACAGUUUGAGGAUAUUCGUAUGAACAUGUCAGAGGUGAAAUUCUUGGAUUUUGAUCAGACGAACUACUGCGAAAGCAUUUAUCAAGGAUGUUUUCAUCA